rnacentral:rRNA from 1 species
ACGAGUGGCGAACUGGUGAGUAACACGUGGGUAACCUGCCCUUGAAGUAGGGGAUAACACUUGGAAACAGGUGCUAAUACCGUAUAACAACCAAAACCACCUGGUUUUGGUUUAAAAGAUGGCUUCGGCUAUCACUUUAGGAUGGACCCGCGGCGUAUUAGCUUGUUGGUAAGGUAACGGCCUACCAAGGCAAUGAUACGUAGCCGACCUGAGAGGGUAAUCGGCCACAUUGGGACUGAGACACGGCCCAAACUCCUACGGGAGGCAGCAGUAGGGAAUCUUCCACAAUGGACGAAAGUCUGAUGGAGCAACGCCGCGUGAGUGAUGAAGGGUUUCGGCUCGUAAAACUCUGUUGUUGGAGAAGAACAGGUGUGAGAGUAACUGUUCACAUCUUGACGGUAUCCAACCAGAAAGCCACGGCUAACUACGUGCCAGCAGCCGCGGUAAUACGUAGGUGGCAAGCGUUGUCCGGAUUUAUUGGGCGUAAAGCGAGCGCAGGCGGUUUCUUAGGUCUGAUGUGAAAGCCUUCGGCUUAACCGGAGAAGUGCAUCGGAAACCAGGAGACUUGAGUGCAGAAGAGGACAGUGGAACUCUAUGUGUAGCGGUGAAAUGCGUAGAUAUAUGGAAGAACACCAGUGGCGAAGGCGGCUGUCUGGUCUGUAACUGACGCUGAGGCUCGAAAGCAUGGGUAGCGAACAGGAUUAGAUACCCUGGUAGUCCAUG